CCAGGCCACAGUCUGCCAAAGGGACAGCUGAACGAAAGGCUCAACUUCCUCCUUCAUCAGCUCCAAGUUCCAGGACAAGAGGCAGAACCAGGUGCCACCGAGCCUGCCACAGGGUUUCUGCUUCUUGCCAAGUGUCUAUCUCUUACUCUACCGACCAUCACCAUUGACGUGUGUGAGGGGACAUCUGGAAGCACAGUCCUCUAAGGUGUGUGUGUCAAGAUAGGGUUUGGGUGGCAGAGGGAGGCCCAAGUGCUGGUGGGUUCACCCACAAGGAUUUGCUGACAGCUAGCUACACACCUUCCUGUUCUUUGAGAAUUUCAAACGUGAGUAGAUCAGCCCUUGCCAUCCAAGAGCUUAGGUUGAGGGUCUGAGGGUGGAAAACACAAUGAACACAAAGCUUAAUUCCAGAAUGGAUGCCAAUAAUGGCACAUACCAUCUGCUAAGCACCUACUGUGUGUGGGCAUUUAACGGUCACUGUCUUCCAUUUAUAUAACAACCUUGCGAUUUAUGAAUUAGAGAACCAUCUUACAGGUUACAAAAUUGAGAUAAGUGAGCUGCCGUCUAUAUCAGAGAAUAGAAGGUUCUGAGACCAAGAUUUGAAACCAGACCUUGCCAAGGAAUGACCAAAAUUCAUUCCUUACCAAGAUGUCACUUUGGGGGCCUUAUCUUAAAAGUGCUUUUCUGCCAGUUUCAAUGCUCUUGAGAGGACAGUCUCCCCCUCGAAGGCUCCUAGCAACAUCGCUGGGCAGGCUGGGCUGCUAAGAACACCUGUGUUUAAUUUAGGUGGUGACUCAGAAGUCCCAUGCCCAAAAUAGGUGACACAGGCACACAUAAACUGUGGCCUCCUUUUUCUACCUCCAGCCCUAACCUCUGACCCUACUGUCUGUGAUUGGAAAGAAACGAAACAGUGGUACUGGGAAGAGCUGUUCCCGACCUAAACCUUGCACACAAAUGGUGUCAGCAGGCACAAAUCAACAUGAAGAUUAUUAAGGGGAAACAAGCGGAAAAAAUACAACUCACUAGGAAUUCCUAAGUGGAGGGGCUGGGGUGUGUGUUUGUGUGUUUGUGUGUGUGUUUGUGUACAUGUUUUUAACUCAUCCAGAUUGGAAAAAAAAUGUGCCUGCAAAGGUUUCACCUUUACUUUCUCAAACCAAAAGAGAUCAUGUCAAGAUGCCAGUCAAUUGGGAGGAACUGAGGGUGAAGCCCCAGCAGGAGGGCCCUCUCUUUUCUCUUUUGAAACUUGGUGAUGGCCAGGUACAGUGGCUUAUGCCUGUAAUCCCAGCACUUUGGGAGGCCGAGGCAGGUGGAUCACCUGAGGUCAGGAGUUCCAGACCAGCCUGGCCAACAUGGGGAAACCCCAUCUCUACUAAGAAUACAAAAAUUAGCCAGACAUGGUGGCACGCGCCUGUAAUCAAAGCUACUCAGGAGGUUGAGGCAUGAGAAUUGCUUGAACCCAGGAGGCGG
rnacentral:lncRNA from 10 species